AUGAAAAUGUAAUUAUUACAACUACUGAUGAAGGCAAGAACUAUUGAAGUCUAGAUAUGUGCUUUGGUGUUAGGUGCAACAACUAUUCUGCCAUGACAUCCUGUCUUGAAAUAAUAUAGUCAAGUAGCCUAACUAUGCACUCGUGAUUCAUGAAAAAAGAGAUCCAAGGUUCAUAUUUUGUGUGAAAAAUGGCAGUUCUGCCUUUAUGUGUACUGCUCCCCAAAUUACUGGACAGCAAUAGGCUUGCUAGGUGUUUUGCAUGAUCCAGGAAUGAGCUCUCUGCAGUUGCACUUCACUUCAUCCCCACCACCAAAUCCUUAUAACCAUAGCACAAGCCGAAUAGAUGUGCAAAUAUUCAGUGAUGUUUCUAUCCAUUACCUUUCUAAAUUACUUGUAUUACAACUAAACGAUCAUUUUAAAUGAUGAGAAAUAAAUUCAUUUUUAUCAUUACUAAUUUUAUUAUCGGGUGUUCAAAAUA